UACAGAGGUCUCGAGCGUUAGGCGGAAUCACUGGGCUUAAAGCGUGUGUAGGCGGAUCGUUAAGUACCUUGUGAAAUCCCACGGCUUAACCGUGGAACUGCUUGGUAUACUGGCGGUCUUGAGCCAGCUAGGGGCUACCGGAACAAAUGGUGGAGCGGUGAAAUGCGUAGAUAUCAUUUGGAACGCCAAUGGUGAAAACAGGUAGCUGGGGCUGUGCUGACGCUGGAGAACACGGAAAGCCAGGGGAGCAAACGGG
rnacentral:rRNA from 1 species